rnacentral:rRNA from 1 species
GGUUAAGCGACUAAGCGUACACGGUGGAUGCCCUGGCAGUCAGAGGCGAUGAAGGACGUGCUAAUCUGCGAUAAGCGCCGGUAAGGUGAUAUGAACCGUUAUAACCGGCGAUUUCCGAAUGGGGAAACCCAGUGUGACUCGUCACACUAUCAUUAACUGAAUCCAUAGGUUAAUGAGGCGAACCGGGGGAACUGAAACAUCUAAGUACCCCGAGGAAAAGAAAUCAACCGAGAUUCCCCCAGUAGCGGCGAGCGAACGGGGAGGAGCCCAGAGCCUGAAUCAGCAUGUGUGUUAGUGGAAGCGUCUGGAAAGGCGCGCGAUACAGGGUGACAGCCCCGUACACAAAAGCGCAUGUGCUGUGAGCUCGAUGAGUAGGGCGGGACACGUGGUAUCCUGUCUGAAUAUGGGGGGACCAUCCUCCAAGGCUAAAUACUCCUGACUGACCGAUAGUGAACCAGUACCGUGAGGGAAAGGCGAAAAGAACCCCGGCGAGGGGAGUGAAAAAGAACCUGAAACCGUGUACGUACAAGCAGUGGGAGCACCCUUUGGGGUGUGACUGCGUACCUUUUGUAUAAUGGGUCAGCGACUUAUAUUCUGUAGCAAGGUUAACCGUAUAGGGGAGCCGGAGGGAAACCGAGUCUUAAU